GGUCUUCCUUGUUCAGCAGUUGAUUUUAAUUUGCUUAAUGAAAACUUUAUCCACAGAGCAGAGGGUUCUUCUAGGGCUCCUCAUUGACCAAAGCAAACUGAAAGCCAGAGAUCAAGGAUGCUACUAGGUGGAGCUCAUAUAGGUCAGCCGCUCAAAACACAGGGAAGGGUGAAGAAGAAUGGAUAAUAGAUCCUGGAUGUGAAAGGAAAAAAAAUUGUGACACUCCGUUUUUAAUAAGAAUGUAUCAGUUCAAUCACUAUCAGUUUGCAGAUGUACAUUAAAUAAUAACAAGCAAG
rnacentral:lncRNA from 10 species